rnacentral:lncRNA from 1 species
AGGCAGCGGCGGCGGCGGCAGCGGUGGGGAAAAGCGGAUUCCGCCCCGAACCACACCGAGGGGAGCUCGUGGUCGAGACUUGCCGCCCUAAGCACUCUCCCAAGUCCGACCCGCUCGGCGAGGACUUCCGUCUUCUGAGCGAACCUUGUCAAGCAAGCUGGGAUCUAUGAGUGGAAAGGUGACCAAGCCCAAAGAGGAGAAAGAUGCUUCUAAGGUUCUGGAUGACGCCCCCCCUGGCACACAGGAAUACAUUAUGUUACGACAAGAUUCCAUCCAAUCUGCGGAAUUAAAGAAAAAAGAGUCCCCCUUUCGUGCUAAGUGUCACGAAAUCUUCUGCUGCCCGCUGAAGCAAGUACACCACAAAGAGAACACAGAGCCGGAAG